ACACUGCUGAUGAGACCCAAACAGGUCGUAACAGCUGUCUAGUGC
rfam:Echinostoma caproni strain Egypt genome assembly, scaffold: ECPE_scaffold0000733